AUUGAACGCUGGCGGAAUGCUUUACACAUGCAAGUCGAACGGCAGCACGGACUUCGGUCUGGUGGCGAGUGGCGAACGGGUGAGUAAUGUAUCGGAACGUGCCCAGUCGUGGGGGAUAACGUAGUGAAAAUUACGCUAAUACCGCAUACGAUCUAUGGAUGAAAGCGGGGGAUCGCAAGACCUCGCGCGAUUGGAGCGGCCGAUAUCAGAUUAGGUAGUUGGGGGGGUAAAGGCCCACCAAGCCAACGAUCUGUAGCUGGUCUGAGAGGACGACAAGCCACACGUGAACUGAGACACGGUCCAGACUCCUACGGGAGGCAGCAGUGGGGAAUUUUGGACAAUGGGCGAAAGCCUGAUCCAGCCAUUCCGCGUGCAGGAUGAAGGCCCUCGGGUUGUAAACUGCUUUUGUACAGAACGAAAAGGUUUCUACUAAUACUAGGAGCUCAUGACGGUACUGUAAGAAUAAGCACCGGCUAACUACGUGUCAGCCGCCGCCGUAA
rnacentral:rRNA from 1 species